GAAAAUGCAAGCUUACGUUCCAUUUGUUGGAAACACUGGAAAUAGAAGAAUGCAAUGAAAUGGAGAUCUUUUCAAAUGGAAUAAUAAGCAUAGAAGAAGGUAAAGACUCAGUAUUGGGGGCACCUUAUCCAAAACCCUUUUUCACUCACAAGGUUUCAUUUCCUGCAUUGGAGAUUUUAAGGAUUGAUGGAGGAAAUAGUUUGGAGAUGUUAUGGAAUAAGAAUAAGCCGAUUGCAAGUUCCUUUUGCAAACUUCGAGAGAUAAGUAUUGAAAACUGCAACAAGUUGAGAUGCAUGUUUCCUUGGAGUAUAGUGAAAUCACUUGCUUUUUUAGAAACACUGAAUAUCUUUUCUUGUGAGUUAUUAGAAAGGAUAUUUGAAACCGAAAAGCGGAGUUUUGCAACAGAAGAAGAAGAAAAUGGUGAAAUUGUGUUCAACAGACUGAGUCGUCUGGAAUUUGAUAAUUUACCAAGCCUACUUUGUUUUCACUCUGGAAAAUGCACACUUAAAUUUGUUGCCUUGAAUUUCUUGAAGAUAAGAAGAUGCCAUGAUAUGAAAACAUUUUCAUAUGGAAUAACAAACACUCCCAAUUUGCAAGCCGUCGAGAUAGGAGAAAAUGAAGUUCCAGUAUCACCAACAAAGGGGAUAAAUGACAUUAUCCAAGCUUUUUUCACACAAGAGAUUGAAUUCCUCCAGAGCAUGAGAGAUGUGGAAUUGAGGUUGAAGAGAGUGAAGAGAGGCUUUUGGCAUAAAUUGAACUCAUUCCCCCAACUCGAAUGUCUUAGACUGAUUGGUUGUGAGGAUGACGACAUGGUUUGUUUACCAUCGGAAGUGAGUGAAGUAUUAUACAAUAUUAGAACUUUCAAAAUCGAAAAUGCCCUUCAAUUGGUACACGUGUUUGAAAAUGAAGUAUUAACUACAAACAAUCAUGUUCAAAGAUGUGCAAAGUUGAAGGAGAUAUAUUUGUGGGAUCUUCCUAAGCUUACGCACGUGUGGAAAGAAAGUAGUGAAGUCAUCACAGUUAGUUUGGAUAGUUUGGAACAUAUGGAGGUAAGGAGAUGUGAGAAUUUGAAAUGCAUAGUGCCAUCGUCAUUCUCAUUCUUAAACUUGAGGACUCUUAUCGUCAAUAAUUGCAAUCGAAUGGUGAAUUUGUUUAGCUCUUCAGUGGCAAACAAUCUGGAAAAUCUCGAAAAGAUUGAAAUAUCUGAUUGUACAGGAAUGACAUCUAUAGUCAUUGCAGAUGAAGAAAAUGGUGAAAUUAUUUUCAAAAAACUCCGUUGUCUAGGACUUGAUAAUUUACCAAGACUAUUCAGCUUUUACUCUGGAAAAUGUAUGCUUAAGUUUCCAUCCUUGGAGACAUUGGACAUAUUUCAAUGCAAUCAAAUGGAGACAUUUUCAGUUGGAAUGGUAAGCACAGCUAGUUUGGAAUCCAUGACGAUAGGAGAAAGUGAAUUUAUAAUCUCACCAACACGGGACAUAAAUGUUAUUAUCCAACAUAUUUUCACAGAUCGCAAUAGGAUGGAGGGAAGUAAGGAGAAGCGUGAAGGUUAAUUUAAUCUACGAAAGAUGUUGCAUCACACAAGGCUAGAAGCAAUUGAACAAUCUCCAAGCGAGUCACAGCUACAAAAACUUCUUCAUAAUCUACACCACACUUUUGUCUGUACCCUUUCACGACGAGCAUUACCUUAUAUUUCUUGAUAUCUCCAUGUUGCUUCAACUUUGUUCUAUAGAACCAUUUGACUCCGGUUUUCUAUUUUCCGCUGCAUUGCAAUUUCCCAUUGUCGUAUUCCAUUAUGUAUGAUUUGGAAUGAAAGAGAAGUUGUUACACCGAUUGCCAAGCUUCUCAACGUUGGUUAAUGAAUUGAUUUUUCAAGCAUCAAUUUGGAGAUUCUGCAAAUUGUUGAACUUAAUUAUGAUUGGAGUAUCUUCUUUUUAUUUUUAUUUUUAAGCUCGCUCUAUUCUUAGACUUUGGUUUUCAUGGAUGAAUGGUUUUGAAGAUAAAGAUGUUGUCUGAUUUGUUAUGUGCUAAAUGUCUGUUUUUGGAUAAUAUUGGACAUAUUUUGUGAAUGUUGAAUGUGCUAGAUGUUA